rnacentral:rRNA from 1 species
ACGGGGCCCGCACAAGCGGAGGAGCAUGUGGUUUAAUUCGAUGAUACGCGAGGAACCUUACCUGGGCUCGAACGUAAGAUGACUGUAGGUGAAAGCUUACAUCUCUUCGGAGCAUUUUUACGAGGUGCUGCAUGGCUGUCGUCAGCUCGUGCCGUGAGGUGUCGGGUUAAGUCCCAUAACGAGCGCAACCCCUACCUUUAGUUGCCAUCAGGUUAAGCUGGGGACUCUAAAGGAACUGCCUACGCAAGUAGUGAGGAAGGCGGGGAUGACGUCAAAUCAGCACGGCCCUUACGUCCAGGGCUACACACGUGCUACAAUGGCCGAUACAGAGGGCAGCUACCUGGUGACAGGAUGCAAAUCUCCAAAGUCGGCCUCAGUUCGGAUCGGAGUCUGCAACCCGACUCCGUGAAGUUGGAUUCGCUAGUAAUCGCGCAUCAGCCAUGGCGCGGUGAAUACGUUCCCGGGCCUU